rnacentral:lncRNA from 1 species
GACUGCCGGGGGGCUUCUUUCCCCUUCUUUUUGCCGUCCUGGGGACCAAACCCAGAACUCAGCCACUGGGCCACUCCCAGCCCUGGAGGCUUCCCAGGAAGCCGGACGCGCACCUGCCGCAUCCUGGGCAUCUCCGGAACUCGGAGCUUCGUGCCAGCUCACCCAUGAUUGCCAGAAUCGGGGGCAGUUCAGACAUCCUUUGGUGGCAAGUAGUAAAUGAUGGCCGCUGAGGUGGGUACUGCUGGGCAGCAGAAGGAGGCAGAGUGUGGACGUUGGCAACUCGAGGGAACCGGCCUCAAAGGCUACGCACCAGCUGACCCAUUCCAGGGGACUUCCAGAAAAGGCCGAGUGUCGAGGUGAGGAGUCGCAGCUGCCAGAUUCAAGUCCAGGUUCCCAAGCCCACCUGGCAGAGUGGGGGCGAGUGAUGGCAGGGGUGGCUCACAGAGGUCACUGAGCACCUAAAACGAGUGAGUCUUCUCGUGGAAAUGGUGCCUAGUCCAGCUGAAUAAAGAUGGGAACUUCACGCCCGUGUUAGCCACUGUGCAUGAGAUUGUGUUAGGCAGUUCCGUGUGACUUGUGGCCUACGUUGGGCCAGGUUUCCUAUUAAAGUAGACCAUGUCGAGGAAAGAAAUGGGAAAGUAACAGAUCGAAACACACACAGCAAACAGAUGGCUCUUUUUAAAAAUGUGCUUAGUGGAAAAUUUAAAAGACAGAUUGAGAUAUAGAAUAAUAUAAUUUAAAUAAGAAUAUGCCGUGAUCAUUGUGCCUGGUUAUGUAAGGCAGUCACCGUGGGGGGGCUCAAGAUAAGAUCUCCCCAUCUCUCUGCAGCUCUGUUUGCCUGAAAUUUAUCAAAAACUGAAAAGAACUCAAAAACCCACUGCCACGAAAUCAGGCAUUUCUUAUAGGUUAGGGGAGUGUUGUGGGAAUGUGGGGGAACAAAGAACAAGAGCCUGGGGUUCACACCGGCCAGUGGUGACAGGAAGGGGGGCAGGGGAGAGAGCAAGCCACAGCAGCCAACGGCUGACCACUGGUGGGACUUGGGACUUGGAAGGUGCGCACUCCAGGGGGAGGUGUGUGACCUCACAGUGGCAGCUCAGGUGGGCACCUUGGGUGCUGCCGGGGGGCAAGUGGCACACUGAGCUAGAUGUAGGCAGUGUCACCACAUGAGCCCAAAGAGAAGGUGGGAGCCUGGGUCCCGAGUGCUGCUUGGAAGGGGCCAACGGUGGGCGGGCCUCAGACCCUGUUGGGGUGACUCGUGGUGCAGCGCCAGGAAGAGUGCGGGGCUUUCCCUAUCAGAGGACGGCAAAAGUGGAUCUUAAAUAAAUACGGAUUUCAGGAAAUCCUGAGAUUAAGGUACCAUGAGGAGAGACGUGAAGCUCCAAGGUGGAAGACAGGACCAGACACAUGUGACACGGCAGAGUGACAGAGCUGAAGGCGGAGUGGCACAUCUGAGCCCCUGCUGCAGGCUGCUGCAGGGUCACCGCCAGGCCUAUGGAGAUGCCCUUCAACAGGCAUCAGUGCCACACCCAGGAUGGCCUACAGACGGCCACUGCUAAAGGACCCCAAAUCUCCACUCUCUAGGAAAACAGAACCCGUCAAAGCAGAGGGGCACGUCACCGGACCACAGGGGAAGGCCCCCGGGCGAGGGGCGGUGGGCGGUGGAGAGCAGCGGGAGGCUGUGCCUUCCGGACGCUCCUCACUUGUUCCCGUUUGCUGUCCACAUGGUGGAUGGACACCAAGGAAGCAGAUGGGCACUGGACAAGAUGCGGAGGACAAGGUGGGGUGCAGGGUUCCCAUGCCCUCCCCGGGUGGACCCCCUCCAGGAACUGCUGUGUCCAGCCAUGCAAAGCUUCUGUGGGGCAGUAGGGGCCCCUUAUUAUGUGGGCACAAUAUGUCCCAGCGCUGGCUGUUGGUGAACAACCCAACCUUCAGCCCCUCUCCUCCCUGUCCUCCCUGGAGCUGGGGGGGGGGCUGCAGGACCCCGUGCCCAAAUCCCACCUUGGUCUUUCCAGCAAACAGCUUGUCCUGAGACUGCCCAGCCCCUGCCAGCAGCCCGCAGCCCUCAGCAGCCCACAGGACGCACAUGG